GGAAUUUGAAGCCCUCGGCCCACUUUUUCCAUUUCGCUGGUGCACAGAGGCAAUGAAAUACCUUGGCAUCUGGUUCACCACAGACCCCCAGGGAAUAUACCACCGUAAUUUCGAAACACUGCUGAGAAACAUCGAAACAGACCUAAUGAGAUGGUCCUACCCCCACAUUACUUGGCAUGGCCGUAUAGCAGUCUUAAAAAUGAACAUUCUUCCUAGGAUCCUUUAUUUAUUUCAG